CUGGCAAAAAACAAAACAAGCAAACAAAUAACAUCAAGGAGAUAGAAGGGAAAGAAAAUCUAUACAUAAAUAAAUCUUUUCUAUUUUUUUCAGCAAUAACCUUCAGUUUCAUGAUACAUACAAUGCUGUUUCAAGCAUUAAUAAUUCUUUGCCCUGACAUUGCUCAGAUCAGUUACCUAGCCUGAAAAAAUUAAAAAUAUUAAAUGACUAAUUCAUUUGAGAACGUACGAACACAGGAAAAAAAUCACUUUCAAUAUUGUUAUAUCACAAAGCUAGGAUAUAGCUCAUGGGUAGAACACUGCCUACCUGGAAUAUACAAAGCCCCAAGUUUGAUCUCUUUGGUAUAAAACUCUAUAUAAUGUGGGGCCAUGUGUAUAAUUCAAAGGUAGAGCAGUGCUUAACAUGUGUAAGGCACUGAGUUUAAUCCCCAACAAGUAUGAAAAUAUAUAUAAUGUACUCUAUUUCAAAAUAUUUUACCAAAAGGCUGUGGUUAGCAUCAGAAAGGCCCUGGGUUCGAUUCCUCAGCACCACAUAAACAGAAAAAGCC